AAACAGAUCAGGAAUGUCUCAAAUGCAGAACUACCAAAAAGCCAGAUAAAUUUGGCUUCUCAGACAAUGAAGAGGCUGAUGAUGAAGAUGGUGAUAGUCUCCAGAUAUGCCGUACACCAACUGUUGCUAUGUUGCCACAGCCUCCUCAGCUCAAUGAAGCAAAUGGAGGAUUUGAUGCAUCUUCCAGAGACAGCUCUUCACUGCCCUACCAAUGAAAAGUCCAUAGAAAUGGCAGUGUAGAGAACUACAAAUCAGAAUCCACUCCAGAGGUCUCACAAAGGUUUAAGGGAAAACUCCAGUUGAACAAAAGAUUAUCUCUAGUUGGAGCUGCAGAUGAGGGUAGUGAUUUUUUUUUAUUAUGUUUUACAAAGAUCCCUUUAAGCAUGAAAUAUACUGAAUUUUAUUUUAAACUGUAAUUUGAUUGUGCAUUCAUUUUGGAUUUAGUGAAAUAUAUGUCACCUUAAAGUUACACAGUAUAUUCAUAUACAUAUUUUCUCACAGCCACAUCUUCAAGAACUGCAGAUUUAGGUCUAAAAGAAUUUAUAGCUGUGUCAGAGGCAGAGGCUGCAGAUGCAAGGUACAGAGCUACAUUGUUGGCACGUCUCAAAACAAUUGAGGAAAAUCAGCGGCUGAUGGUAAACCUACUACAAUCUGUAGCUGCUUCUGUAGGGUCAGGAGGGGAGGAUGUGGAUGAUGUUUUCCCAGCCCCAGUAUACAGUUUAGAGGAGCU